GAAUGCUGACAUAAGUAACGAUAAAGCGGGUGAAAAGCCCGCUCGCCGGAAGACCAAGGGUUCCUGUCCAACGUUAAUCGGGGCAGGGUGAGUCGACCCCUAAGGCGAGGCCGAAAGGCGUAGUCGAUGGGAAACAGGUUAAUAUUCCUGUACUUGGUGUUACUGCGAAGGGGGGACGGAGAAGGCUAUGUUGGCCGGGCGACGGUUGUCCCGGUUUAAGCGUGUAGGCUGGUUUUCCAGGCAAAUCCGGAAAAUCAAGGCUGAGGCGUGAUGACGAGGCACUACGGUGCUGAAGCAACAAAUGCCCUGCUUCCAGGAAAAGCCUCUAAGCAUCAGGUAACAUCAAAUCGUACCCCAAACCGACACAGGUGGUCAGGUAGAGAAUACCAAGGCGCUUGAGAGAACUCGGGUGAAGGAACUAGGCAAAAUGGUGCCGUAACUUCGGGAGAAGGCACGC
rnacentral:rRNA from 1 species